AAAUCAUCUUAGGGGUGCUUGGCGGACAACGUCCGCAGGCUGAGAAUAAACUCUUAUAACUUGGCGCAGGUAAUGCUGACGCAAGAAAAGAUGAAGCAUGUUGA
rnacentral:ncRNA from 2 species